AAGCUCGUAGUUGAAUUUCGGGGUUAGUAGGUUGGUCAUGCCUCUGGUAUGUACUGGUCUCACUGAUUCCUCCUUCCUUAUGAACCGUAAUGCCAUUAAUUUGGUGUUGCGGGGAAUUUGGACUGUUACUUUGAAAAAAUUAGAGUGUUUAAAGCAAGCUAACGCUUGAAUACAUUAGCAUGGAAUAAUGAAAUAGGACGUUCGAUCUUAUUUUGUUUGGUUUCUUGGGAUUGACGUAAUGAUUAAUAGGGAUAGUUGGG
rnacentral:rRNA from 1 species